CACUUCUCAGGAUUGCACCUGGAGAGUUUCCAGUACUCUACCAGUCUCGGUUAUUGGAGGGAGAGUCAAAAAGAGGUAUAAACGUUCCAUUCCUAGCUUGGGCAGUGGCUAGCAAGUGGAAGGCAAUCUGCUACAAGU